rnacentral:rRNA from 1 species
AUUGAACGCUGGCGGAAUGCUUUACACAUGCAAGUCGAGCGGCAGCGCGGGGCAACCUGGCGGCGAGCGGCGAACGGGUGAGUAACACAUCGGAACGUGCCCAGACGUGGGGGAUAGCCCGGCGAAAGCCGGAUUAAUACCGCAUACGAUCUAAGGAUGAAAGCGGGGGACUCGCAAGGGCCUCGCGCGUUUGGAGCGGCCGAUGGCAGAUUAGGUAGUUGGUGGGGUAAAGGCUUACCAAGCCUGCGAUCUGUAGCUGGUCUGAGAGGAUGAUCAGCCACACUGGGACUGAGACACGGCCCAGACUCCUACGGGAGGCAGCAGUGGGGAAUUUUGGACAAUGGGCGCAAGCCUGAUCCAGCCAUUCCGCGUGCAGGAC